rnacentral:rRNA from 1 species
GACGAACGCUGGCGGCGUGCUUAACACAUGCAAGUCGAACGAUGAAGCCGGAGCUUGCUCUGGUGAAUUAGUGGCGAACGGGUGAGUAACACGUGAGUAACCUGCCCUUGACUCUAGGAUAACUGCGGGAAACUGUAGCUAAUACCGGAUACGACCCUCGGAGGCAUCUCCUGGGGGUGGAAAGAAUUUCGGUCAAGGAUGGACUCGCGGCCUAUCAGCUAGUUGGUGAGGUAACGGCGCACCAAGGCGACGACGGAUAGCCGGCCUGAGAGGGUGACCGGCCACACUGGGACUGAGACACGGCCCAGACUCCUACGGGAGGAAGCAGUGGGGAAUAUUGCACAAUGGGCGCAAGCCUGAUGCAGCAACGCCGCGUGAGGGAUGACGGCCUUCGGGUUGUAAACCUCUUUUAGCAGGGAAGAAGCGAAAGUGACGGUACCUGCAGAAAAAGCACCGGCUAACUACGUGCCAGCAGCCGCCGUAA